AUCAUAUAAGAAAAGUCUACCAUUUGGGCAAUUCUUAGACCAUCCACAUCAGCAAAUGCUCCCUCAAUUUUCCACGUCACUUUUCUCAAUUUUGUGCUCUGCCUUCAUUAUGCUACGACAGUUACAAUUCUCACGUACGUUGCAGUUACUAAGUAUCCUCUUUCUCUUCCAAAACCUUCCUCUUAUUAUUCCAAAACGGUUUCGAAAUCAUUUUUCCUUUCACACUCAGAACGAAUCUCCUUCCUCUCUCUCUCCGAGCCAAAACGGCAACGCCUCCACUCUUCUUCCCCGACGAACUGCUCUGAUUCAUCCCCUCUGAUAGUCUUCCGCAUCCGUCCAUCGGUUUGGUUAUGUUGCUGAGGUGUUUUGUUCGCGUUUGAACCUGUGGUGUUUGGUUUUGAAUGUUUGAUGAUGAAUGUUGAGUUGAAACAGCUCUGAAUUGCCAAAGCUGGGUGAGAUCUUUCCGAGUUUAUGUUAUUUUCUCUUUAAUCUCUCUUCUUCUCUCUCAAAAUUUCUCCAUUCAAAUGUGAUUUAGGUGUAUUAAUGUUGCCUAAUUUAGUUUUAUUUUUGGAAUGAAUUAAUAGGCCACCAAGUGUUUGUUAUAAUGAUUGAAGAUUGUUGGAGAAUGUAAGAGAAUCAAUUCAAGAUUGAAGAUGUUAUGAGAUUGAAAUCGGUGAUGGUGAUUAUGGAGAGAAGAUUUGAGAUAUGGAGGAGGAUUUGGGAAUCGCAAACUCUGUCCUCUGAUUCUGUUAUUUUGUUCCGGUUAUAAUGAUUUCCUCUCAUUUUCUGUUAUGGAAAUUGAGAUCCUCGCCGUCAUCUUCUUCCAAUUCUCCCCACCUUAUCUUUGCCGCUUCGUUUGGAUAAACAAUGUGUUCGGUUGUUCUUCAACUACUGGGAAUUAGAAUUCAAGUUGUUUCUUUGUGACUGCAAAAGCAAAAGAGAAACAGUGGAAUGCAGGAUUUUGGUGACAAAUAUAUGGGAUUUCGCGUAUCUUUAUGAUCCAAACAAUGAGACUGCUAAAGCAUUUGUACCAGCUCAGAUAUUGUAUGAUGCAUUCCAUGGAAGGUAUCACAAUUUUGCAGGAGCAAUAGUUCUACUAUUGCUCAGAGGGAUUGUUUAUAAUCUUCUAUUUUUCUUGAACCUGAUGACGAUCUAAGCUUCUUCAAUGGUCUUCCAACAACACCCACUUUGUUUAUUUCUCUAAUUAUUUUUAUUUUUAUAAUGGAAUUUAUUUUUGUUUUUUAGUGUUAUUAGUUACCUUUUUUUUGGUUUUAAAUAGUGGGAAUCUAAAAGCCCCUGAAUUCCUUUUUCCUUCUCAUGGUGUUGUUGCUAUUGUCUUCAAUGGUAGAAUCCAUGUGAGAUAUUCUUUUCAACCAAGUGUUAUCAAGAUGUGGCCAUGAGACAGUGGUGAUGCUUUGCAACAUAUGGAUGGCGAUGAUAAAAAUUAUGAUGAAAGAGAGAGCCAUUUGUCUGAUAUGAAUUCAACCACACAUGCUGGGCAAAGUUCAAACUUCAAAACUAUUAAAUCAGCUCUGGUACAAGGAGUUGGGGCCCCCAAUAAAGUUAGAUUUCAAUUGCCAGGUGAAGCAGAGCUUUUGGAAGAAGUAGACAGCUUAUUAGAGGGACUCGGGCCUCGAUUUACUGAUUGGUGAGGGUUUGACCCUGUGCCUGUUGAUGCUGAUCUUUUACCUACUGUUAUUCCUGGAUUUAGGCACCCUUUUCGCCUACUUCCAUAUGGUGUGAAGUCUAAUCUAACAGAUGAUGAAUUGACUUCAUUGAAGAGACUUGGCAGACCUUUACCAUGCCAUUUUGCAUUAGAUUUGAGAAUAUAACCUUUAGGAGAAGAAAAUAUGAAGCCAAGGCGCGUGGAACGGUGCCAGUACACAUUAUUAUUUUUGAGGCUGCUGAUCGUGAUGAUAUAGGUGGUUCUGUUUAUGGCGGACAAAGAGCAAUCUGUUGCACCCGUGAUUUAGCAAAGAUGGGAGGUUGUAAGCAAGGAGAGGUUAUCCGGAGAGCUUUCCGUCUGAUGUAACCACACCUGGUGUGAACAUACUUGCUGCCUACUCACUAUUUUGAUGAGCUUUCCACCAUCCGAAUUGGAGUCCAGCAGCUAUGGAAUUAGCUAUCAUGACCACAGGUACACUCAUAUUGUAUUUGGUCUGUAUGGCUUUUAAAUCAAGAAUAACAUUCUUAUAAUUAUGUGAUCCAUUAUGAUUCAUGAUUAUCUGUACACAUUUAUUUCCAUUUGAGGUUGCUGAGUUUUCAGGUUGUUUUAGUGGUGAAGUUGAAGGUUGUAUUGAUCAGGCUUCCAAAACUGAAGUACCUAUGAUCAGGCUCCCGACGAUGGAGAAAUCCGACUGCGUUUUGUGAAUGGAGUUCAGCGCGAAUGCGAACAAAAUUGAAGGGCAAAGGUACGGUGGCUAUAAUGAUGUGUUUACAACCAUUAUGAUAUGAUUUAUGCUUUGACUCCACGAUAUCAGAAUAGCAAUCUGUCGGAUUUGAUUGAAAACUUUCUCGAAGUUUUACAUUUCCGUUAGUUGUAGCAUAAGCUAUGAACGCCUCAAUGAGACAUCAAUUUUGAUGAUCGGAUAAUUUUAUAGUACACUGGUAUUAUUCUUCAGUAAAACUUAGAUGGCCUGUUCUUGCCAUAGCCAUACUUCAAGCUGUGGUUGGAAGUCAAGCUAUCAUCACCGGAACUUUCUUGAUAAUCAAACAGUGUUCCUCUUUAGGAUGCUUCCCAAAAGUCAAAAUCGUUCAUACAUCGUCCGCAAUACCGCUUUCGGUGUCAAUGCGUUCUUUAGCUGCUUAUGGAGCGUAUGUGCAUCCUAUGCCAUAUUCGAACGAGAUUGGUUUGCGAAUGCUUAUAGGCGGGGUUGUCGGGGAGGCUGUUGUGUUGGGGUAUCACGAGGGGACAGAAGUUAGAAUGAAUUUCACUUGAGAUUCACACUCUUAUUAUAUGAGAAUGGCAUUGUAGACAAUUCAGCAAAAAGAGAUGCAAUUCAGGUGAACUUUGGAUUGUCAAGGCCCACAUCCCCUGGAAAAGAGAGGGUUAGCACCAGUAUAUAUUAGCAAUAGUAUUCUGUUAAGGUUCUGUUAAUAGUAUCGAUGGAGCAUGAAGCAGAAAUCUGGGUCCCUAACAAUAACAUUGUCCAAUAAUGAAACUCAAAGUUUCCUGAAAUAUAUUAUGACAUUUGAUGAUUUUUAAAUUGAACACCCCAAAGCUUAUAAUAUUUAACUAGAAGAAUGGGCAGGAAACUCUAGGAUGACUAUGGUUUGCUCAAUACUUUUCAUACUUGCUAUCAUGCCAUGCUUGAGAACACUUGCAGGCUGAGAAGGCAACAUUUGAAGAAGAAAGAAAGAAGAGGAGAUAGGGUAUUCUCUAAGAAGCUUUGUUUAGCUUUGGAGUUUUGGUGUAAUAGCUGAGGCUCACUGUUACAUGCAGUUUUAUAUUGGAAUGGCGCUUUCAACGUUUUCUGCUGUUGCAGGAUUGAAGCCACCAUGUGAUGCUGAUGGUUACCAUCCGGAAUCAGGACAAACUGCAUCUCUCUUUAUAGCACUCUACUUGAUAGCUCUUGGAAUCGGAGGUAUCAAACCAUGUGUUUCAUCUUCUGGUCUUGAAAAAGAUUUGGAAGAUCCUCAAAAUCUUCCAAAAUAGAGCAGCAGCUAAUCAUGCGGCUAAGGAAAACCAGAAGGAGGAGUGAGUCUUGGAUGUGCUCGCAACACAGGUGCUACAGGGACAUAUUAUGAUGUUGUUCCUUGCAGUCUUACCAUUUAUAAUCAUAAUCUGUCCACACAAUCUGAUACACUUAGAUUAGAGUUUCCUAAGGCGCCUCUUUGGACAAAUAUUUAUAUCCAGAAUCAGGCCAAGGCGUUGUUUCCUUUAUACUGGAGCCAUGUUCAGGUGAGGUUGUACAGGGUUCGGUUCGAUAAAGAGCAUUCAAUUCUUUCUAUGUGAAGGAACUUGAUGAGGCUUUAAAAACGAUUGUCUUUAUAUGCAUGACAGUUCCAACCAACCAGUGCAAGUGAGUUGAACUUGUGACCUUGAAGGUUGUUGUCACAAUUGUUGAGCGGCUGAAGUGAGGAAACCCGACGGUGAUGUGAGGCAGAUAUUCACGGUUGUCGUGUUACAAGGUGGCUGUUUGUGUUGGUUCAGCAGCGAUGGUAUGAUGGGGGAGUAUUUUUGCUGCGGUUUUGAAUGGUUGAAAUGUGGGUAUUGUGUGAACGGUUGUUGUUAAUGUGAUGAGGACAGAUUGCUAUUCAGCAAGCUAAGGACAGAUAGCUAACUGACAAUGCAGCCUUUGAAGUUAUAAUCAUGAAACUGAUCCCUAGAGUAUCAGUCAUGGAGAGCAUUGGUUCACUGAGAAUAAUUGGAGCUUACAGGCUCAUGACACUUUUCAGUAUUUUACUGCUUCUGCCUCAAGUCAAGAUAUGCAGUAGUAGAUGUAACUUCUGCAGUUUCGUUCCGAGAAUGAUCAGUCCACGAAACAACAAGGUUGAGCUGUUGGUUACUCAAUCAAUGUUGAAGUCUCAAGGAAUAAAGAAUUUAGGCUGCCGUCCAUCUUGCGCAAUACGGUUUAUUUCUAUCAUGAAUUAAGUUAAUAGAUCCUAUGGCACUCAAAGGAACUCAUGUGCGAUCGAGGAAGAGUCUUCGAAGGUAGUUGUGAGAUGGAGGAGGGGUAUAUCUCAGUUGCUUCUGUUUGGUGCAAGAGAUGGUAACUCAGUAGAGUAAGUUAUAGGGUUCUGUAAGGCAUUGCCUUAGAUGCGUGAAAGUAUUUGUAACCAGUUACAAUUUGGUCAUAAUUUUCCGGUGUCAAUCUAUUAUGAGCAGGUUGUGAGUGUGGUUUCGCUGUAGAGAAAAAGUUAAGAAAAGAAAAACUGGAUCUUCUGAUAGAAUUACUGUGGUAGUAAGCGAAUGGAUGGUGGUUUUGUAAAGUUUCAUUUGAAUAGGCCAGUCCAAUUUCGAAAUAUGGAGGCAUGUUAGAGGCUUUAAUAUCCGGUGGUUCUUAGAUCGAGAUUUCGUCACACAGGAACUUGCAUUGUUUAGCAAUAUGUAAUAAAACUUAUAUGCCUUUGAAUGGCCUGAUUGGCAUGUGUUAAAAGGUUUUAAUGGAUGAUUAUUUAGAUUGUUUACGUGAUCCUGAAACCUUGGUUAUUGUAAAUUCCUGUAGCUUUUUCUAAUAUAAACUGAAAAGAAAAAAGGAUAGAAUUGGUGAGCGUAGUUUAAGUUGUUUCGGGACUAUUUUUUAUUUGUAUCUUGAA